GGUGUUAUACCUGGGUGAGAGUGGUC
rnacentral:misc_RNA from 1 species